GUGGGGAAUAUUGGGCAAUGGGCGAAAGCCUGACCCAGCAACGCCGCGUGAAGGAAGAAGGUUUUCGGAUUGUAAACUUCUGUCCUCAGGGAAGAAGGAAGUGACGGUACCUGAGGAGGAAGCCCCGGCUAACUACGUGCCAGCAGCCGCGGUAAUACGUAGGGGGCGAGCGUUGUCCGGAAUGACUGGGCGUAAAGGGCGCGUAGACGGCUGUCUAAGUCUGGAGUGAAAGUCCUGCUUUCAAGGUGGGAAUUGCUUUGGAGACUGGAUGGAUUGAGUGCGGAAAAGGUAAGUGGAAUUCCCAGUGUAGCGAUGAAAUGCGUAGAGAUUGGGAAGAACACCAGUGGCGAAGGCGACUUACUGGGCCGUAACUGACGUUGAUGCGCGAAAGCGUGGGGAGCGAACAGGAUUAGAUACCCUUGUAGUCC
rnacentral:rRNA from 1 species